GCAUUUGAAAGAGUAAACAAAGCGACUUUCAACUCAAAAUGUGCAGAUUUUAAUGCAGAAAUUAAAUGGUUUUGCUCACGAAAUGAAAAGUGUGAAUUCAUUGAAAACAAAUUAAUAUCAUCGCUAGAUCCAUCACUGUUCUCAGAUGGUAUUCACUUCAGUAAUUCUGGAAAGAAAAGUUUAGUGCGAAUAAUCAAGGCCCAUCUUAACCCACACAUU
rnacentral:lncRNA from 1 species